rnacentral:rRNA from 1 species
UAGGGAAUCUUCGGCAAUGGGGGGAACCCUGACCGAGCAACGCCGCGUGAGUGAAGAAGGUUUUCGGAUCGUAAAGCUCUGUUGUUAAGGAAGAACGAGUGUGAGAAUGGAAAGUUCAUACUGUGACGGUACUUAACCAGAAAGGGACGGCUAACUACGUGCCAGCAGCCGCGGUAAUACGUAGGUCCCGAGCGUUGUCCGGAUUUAUUGGGCGUAAAGCGAGCGCAGGCGGUUAGAUAAGUCUGAAGUUAAAGGCAGUGGCUCAACCAUUGUAGGCUUUGGAAACUGUUUAACUUGAGUGCAGAAGGGGAGGGUGGAAUUCCAUGUGUAGCGGUGAAAUGCGUAGAUAUAUGGAGGAACACCAGUGGCGAAGGCGACUCUCUGGUCUGUAACUGACGCUGAGGCUCGAAAGCGUGGGUAGCAAACAGG